AAAAUCGGCCUCAUUUUCGUAGUCGAGAUUUUGAUGCCGUUCGACAGUCUGGAUCCCCACGGUCCUGGGAAAGUGGGUCCUUCCCCGAUCUGGCCCUAUUUGACUAAAAUAUAGCCCUCGGAACAUGUGGUUUUGUAUAGUUUUAGCACACUGGACUUUUCUGUACGCCAUAUCUCUGCAGUACGGCAGCCGAUCGGGGCGCGGCAUGUCUCUCCGUGAUCGGGAGAGUCCUGCCAAUCGACUGCCAGCCGGCACAUCUAUAUACUGUAUGGUUAGUGGUUAAACCACUGAAAAUACUCUUGUCGCCCCCUCCCGCGGACACCGUUAUGCCGACCAUUGCUUAUCAGGGGCUUUCCCCUUCUGGUCUUCCGGUUCAUAUGAGCGAGUGUGAGCUCGAUGACGGCUGUCCACUCCAGACGCCUGCCCAGCUGACAUCGCAAACUCCCCGCCGGCUCCUGCACAAGGAACCACGAUGACAGAAUCGUAUCCCAGCAGGACAGAAGCGCACCCCUUGCAAUAUCCGAACCUAGGAAGCCAUCGUCGUCCUUCGACCCCACCACCGACAGCAAGGACUUUGACUAUGUCCACCAAGGGGCUACUUGGGCCAAUAGACUCUAGAUGUAUCUCGUAGUUGUUAGGUUUAAGGAUAUAAGCGUCCAUUUAUUUAGGUAGUAGAUACAAAUGUUUACACUUGUAUAUUUACUUAUACUAAGCUAAGUUUUGAUGAAUAAAACUAUUGAAAAAUCA